UACGUAGGGGGCGAGCGUUGUCCGGAGUUACUGGGCGUAAAGGGCACGCAGGCGGUGCGGCGCGUUUCGCGUGACAGCGGGUGGCUCAACUACCCGAGGAUGCGAAAGACGGCGGCACUUGAGGGCCAGAGAGGGACACGGAAUUCCGGGUGGAGUGGUGAAAUGCGUAGAGAUCCGGAGGAACACCGAAGGCGAAGGCAGUGUCCUGGCUGGUGACUGACGCUGAGGUGCGAAAGCUAGGGGAGCAAACGGG
rnacentral:rRNA from 1 species